UGUUUGUUACAGCUGCAGCUCCUUUAAUCUCUGAUGAGAAAGAAAAAGAGAAACAGGAUAUUAGCUAUUAACAGGAAACACCAAUAGAUUGAAUAGUGAUUUUAUGAACAUAAAACACUUCAACAGAUCAAUUCUUCUUGUGAAAGAGAGAUGGUUUUAGAAUCCAUACCAGCUCUGUGUCUUUGGGUCCUGCAAAUGGAGUUCUUGGACACAGAUAUUUGUGCAAUAGGAAAGUUAGAUAGAGAAUAAAGGUUGAAAAGUAUGGGGAGUAGUUGAGGGGUUUUAUAGCUGAGGAAAAUUUUGUGUGGCUAAUGGCUAUUUUGUGGGCCAAGGAUUGUAAAUUUAACUUUUAACAUUUUAUUUGUUAUUAUUUUUAUAGUAAAACGUAUCAUAAUUGUUUUAUUUUA
rnacentral:lncRNA from 1 species